CCGUAGGUGAACCUGCGGAAGGAUCAUUACCGAGUUGACUCGAGCUCCGGCUCGACUCUCCCACCCCAUGUGUACCUACCUCUGUUGCUUUGGCGGGCCGCGGUCCUCCGCACCGACCCCCGUUCGGGGGGCCGGCCAGCGCCCGCCAGAGGACCACAAAACUCCAGUCAGUAAACGUCGCAGUCUGAGAAACAAGUUAAUAAACUAAAACUUUCAACAACGGAUCUCUUGGUUCUGGCAUCGAUGAAGAACGCAGCGAAAUGCGAUAAGUAAUGUGAAUUGCAGAAUUCAGUGAAUCAUCGAAUCUUUGAACGCACAUUGCGCCCCUUGGUAUUCCGAGGGGCAUGCCUGUUCGAGCGUCAUUUCAACCCUCAAGCUCUGCUUGGUAUUGGGCUCCGUCCUCUGUGGACGCGCCUCGAAGACCUCGGCGGUGGCGUCUUGCCUCAAGCGUAGUAGAAAACACCUCGCUUUGGAGCGCACGGCGUCGCCCGCCGGACGAACCUUUGAAUUUUUCUCAAGGUUGACCUCGGAUCAGGUAGGGAUACCCGCUGAACUUAAGCAUAUCAAUAAGCGGAGGA
rnacentral:rRNA from 1 species